rnacentral:lncRNA from 1 species
CUGAGACCUCUUUCAACAAAUUCAAGUGAGAACCUGGAGAGUUUGGGAAGAGAGAAGACUUUGGAACUCCCGGGUUUGCAUUCUCCCAGGACUUUCUGGCCCAGAAAGAGGGUGACUUGGGAGGAGUUACCACAACCACACAGAGAGUGACAGAGGGAGACAGUAGAGGGAGCUUAAGCCAAAAGGUUGAGACAAGAGGUAGCAGUUACAGAAAAGUUGAGGGUGGGAAAGGAGCAACAGACCUUUUUGGGUGGGUAAGAGAGAAAACAAUGGCUCAGGUAAGGGGGCUAAUGUCUCAGUGGAGUCAAAUGUUCACUUCCUUCCUGAAGCCUGGACUGCCUGAUGUGGGUUAGUCUGCUGACUGUGGCGUCUUUCUUCCCCACAUGCUCUGUCUUCUCUACACUUUCCCCAGAGGAGGAGAUCCUGACCCAGUUCCAGGACCUCAGAAUGUGACUGUACUUGGAGAUAGCUUCUUUAAAGAAGUGAUGAAGUUAAAAUGAUGCUCUUCAUGUGGGCUGAAUCAAAUCUGAGUGGUAUCCUUAUAAGAAGAGGAAAUUAGCGAACAAAAA